GACGAACGCUGGCGGCGUGCUAAUACAUGCAAGUCGAGCGAAGCGGCGGAUGGGUGAGUAACGCGUGAGUAACCUGCCCCCCUCUCUGGGAUAACAGUUGGAAACGGCUGCUAAUACCGGCUAGUGGGGGAGGGACUAGCGUCCUAGAAGCGUGUGGGGGGGGGAGGGGCCUACCAAGGGGACGACGGGUAGCCGGCCUGAGAGGGGGACCGGCCACAUUGGGACUGCGAUAAGGGCCAAACGCCGACUGGAGGCAGCAGGGGGGAAUAUUGCACAAUGGGGGAAACCCUGAUGCAGGAACGCAGCGUGCGGGAUGACGGCCGUCGGGUUGUAAACCGCUUUCAGCCAUGACGCGGGAGUGGCAGAAGAAGCACCGGCUAACUACGUGCCAGCAGCCGCGGUAAUAC
rnacentral:rRNA from 1 species